rnacentral:rRNA from 1 species
UGGGGAAUAUUGCACAAUGGGCGAAAGCCUGAUGCAGCAACGCCGCGUGAAGGAUGAAGGCCUUUGGGUCGUAAACUUCUGUCCUUGGGGAAGAAAAAAAUGACGGUACCCCUGGAGGAAGUCCCGGCUAACUACGUGCCAGCAGCCGCGGUAAUACGUAGGGGGCGAGCGUUAUCCGGAAUUAUUGGGCGUAAAGAGUACGUAGGUGGUUUUUUAAGCGCAGGGUUUAAGGCGAUGGCUCAACUGUCGUUCGCCCUGUGAACUGGAAGACUUGAGUACAGGAGAGGAAAGCGGAAUUCCUAGUGUAGCGGUGAAAUGCAUAGAUAUUAGGAGGAACACCAGUGGCGAAGGCGGCUUUCUGGACUGUAACUGACACUGAGGUACGAAAGCGUGGGGAGC